rnacentral:rRNA from 1 species
CCUACGGGAGACAACAGUAGGGAAUCUUGCACAAUGGGCGAAAGCCUGAUGGAGCAACGCCGCGUGGGUGAAGAAGGUCUUCGGAUCGUAAAACCCUUUUGUUAGAGAAGAACGUGCGUGAGAGUAACUGUUCACGUUUCGACGGUAUCUAACCAGAAAGCCAAGGCUAACGACGUGCCAGCAGCCGCGGUAAUACCAAGGUGGCAAGCGUUAUCCGGAUUUAUUGGGAGUAAAGGGAACGCAGGCGGUCUUUUAAGUCUGAUGUGAAAGCCUUCGGCUCAACCGGAGUAGUGCAUUGGAAACUGGGAGACUUGAGUACAGAAGAGGAGAGUGGAACUCCAGGUGUAGCGGUGAAAUGCGUAGAUAUAUGGAAGAACACCAGUUGCGAAGGCGGCUCUCUGGUCUGUAACUGACGCUGAGGUUCGAAAGCGUGGGUAGCAAACAGGAUUAGAUACCCUAGUAGUC